AGCUCUCUCUUGCCAUUUGGCUGAGAUCAAGUUGAAGUAUCUGUUCUUCUUAGUUUAAUCUCUAGGACGUGCCUACGGGUGCACUAGCGGUUAAACCAGUUUUUGGAAACUGUGCUGGUGGUCACUGAGCUUCGCUCACACUCCGGCUCAUGGUGUCGCCAGUAUUGCACUGCCUCUGGCUGACGCGACCUUCA
rnacentral:snRNA from 1 species